rnacentral:rRNA from 1 species
AGUGAACGCUGGCGGUAGGCCUAACACAUGCAAGUCGAACGGCAGCACAGUAAGAGCUUGCUCUUACGGGUGGCGAGUGGCGGACGGGUGAGGAAUACAUCGGAAUCUACUUUUUCGUGGGGGAUAACGUAGGGAAACUUACGCUAAUACCGCAUACGACCUACGGGUGAAAGUAGGGGAUCUUCGGACCUUGCGCGAUUGAAUGAGCCGAUGUCGGAUUAGCUAGUUGGCGGGGUAAAGGCCCACCAAGGCGACGACCCGUAGCUGGUCUGAGAGGAUGAUCAGCCACACUGGAACUGAGACACGGUCCAGACUCCUACGGGAGGCAGCAGUGGGGAAUAUUGGACAAUGGGCGCAAGCCUGAUCCAGCCCUACCGCGUGGGUGAAGAAGGCCUUCGGGUUGUAAAGCCCUUUUGUUGGGAAAGAAAAGCAGCAGGUUAAUACCCCGCUGUUCUGACGGUACCCAAAGAAUAAGCACCGGCUAACUUCGUG